AUUUAGUUUAUGUAUGAGUAUAUUAACUGCAUGUUAUAUGGCUGCCAUGAUGGUGAUAUUCAUAUGUAAGGUGGUGGUGGUGGGAAUACCAGUGUUUGUAAUAUCUCAAAUAAGACACUAGGGGGCUCUGAAAACAAAAUUAGUAUAUCUAAUCCAAAAGCUCUACUCCACCUUCUAUGUAUGCUUGAACAUAUCAGGUUGAAAGCAUUUUAAU